UACGGAGGGGGCAAGCGUUAUUCAUCCUGAUUGGGCGUAAAGGGUAUGUAGGUGAUGGAAAAUGUUUUUUGAAAAAAGCUCAAGUUUUGGGUCUUGAAAUUCACAAAAACCAUUGAUCUAUUCGAGAAUGAAGGGGUUGGCGGAAUUACUAAUGUAAAAGUAAAAUAUGACGAUAUUAGUGCGAAUACCAGGGGCGGAAAGCGGCUUUCUUUAAUUUCUGACACUGAGGUA
rnacentral:rRNA from 1 species